rnacentral:rRNA from 1 species
UGGGGAAUAUUGGACAAUGGGCGAAAGCCUGAUCCAGCAAUGCCGCGUGUGUGAAGAAGGCCUUAGGGUUGUAAAGCCCUUUCGGCGGGGAAGAUGAUGACGGUACCCGCAGAAGAAGCCCCGGCUAACUCCGUGCCAGCAGCCGCGGUAAUACGGAGGGGGCUAGCGUUGUUCGGAAUCACUGGGCGUAAAGGGCGCGUAGGCGGACCACCAAGUCAGGGGUGAAAGCCCUGGGCUCAACCUAGGAAGUGCCCUUGAAACUGAUGGUCUUGAGUCCGGGAGAGGAGAGCGGAAUUCCCAGUGUAGAGGUGAAAUUCGUAGAUAUUGGGAAGAACACCGGUGGCGAAGGCGGCUCUCUGGACCGGCACUGACGCUGAGGCGCGAAAGCGUGGGGAGCAAACA